rnacentral:lncRNA from 1 species
UGAUUUUUAAGUCCUCAUAUACUGGACUCUGACAGCUGAGCCAUGGGUGGCAACUACUUAAACUAAGUCACUUUAAGCAACCAUUCAAAGUACUUAUGCAAUCAGGUUGAAACUAUUUUUAAUGAGGAGAAGAAAGCUCCUGGGAGGCACUGACAGCUCUUGAACCCUGAUAGCACACUUUGCACAGAGAUUCCCCAGAAGGUGGCUCUGAGCAAGUCUUCACAUUUGCCAUUUGAUUAAUUAAAGAUAAAUGGCGGAGACUUUUCCCUAAAUGGGUUACUUGAUUUAAGAGCUGCUGGCUAAUUUUGGUCGGAUAAUUUAAUAGAAGAGGGAAGAGGAAAGGAAAGAAAGGGGCUUGAAGAAAGAGGAAGAGAAAAGAAACACAAGGAUGGAGAACAAGGAGAGACCAUUUGAAUAGAAUGCAACUGAAGAAAUGGCUGGUGCAAUUCAGCAAGGUAAAAGAUUAUCUUACCCCCAGCUGGUUAAAGGCAGAAGCUAUGAAUUUGUGCUAUUGUCUGUGGGCUCCUUUCAGCUUUCUGUUUUUCUCAUGCAUGAGAAAAAUGCAUUUCAGCUGAAAACAGUAUUAUGAAGGAGAAGUACUUCAAAAUAAAACACUUUACUCAACCCAAAAGACUCACUAUAAGUUCUCAAACAGUAGCUGCCACUUCUAGCUGGGAGAGAAAUGAGAGCUCUGCUCAUGGUGAUCCAGUAUCUCCAGAAUCCAUCACCACUGCUGACCUCCCACUCCAUGUCUCCAAGUGCUCUGCUAUACCUGCCACCAGCAGCUGCCACCUCCAGACUUUGGAAGGUUAUAAUAAAACCUCUGUUCUACGAUCUGCCUUCUGCUUCAACAUCCUCACUCCCCACAAACAAUUCUAAUAAACAGCAAUUAAUCUGAAAGUGUUUUUGCAAUUUUAAUGUAUGAGAUAUGGU